rnacentral:rRNA from 1 species
AGAGUUUGAUCCUGGCUCAGAUUGAACGCUGGCGGCAUGCCUUACACAUGCAAGUCGAACGCGAAAGGGGGCAACCCCGAGUAGAGUGGCGAACGGGUGAGCAAUACACCGGAACACGUCCUGUAGCGGGGGACAACCUCGAGAAAUCGAGGCUAAUACCGCAUACGAUCUACGGAUGAAAGUGGGGGACCGCAAGGCCCCACACUAUAGGAGUGGCCGAUGCCGGAUUAGCUAGUUGGUGGGGUAACGGCCUACCAAGGCGACGAUCCGUAGCUGGUUUGAGAGAACGACCAGCCACACUGGGACUGAGACACGGCCCAGACUCCUACGGGAGGCAGCAGUGGGGAAUUUUGGACAAUGGGCGAAAGCCUGAUCCAGCCAUGCCGCGUGAGUGAAGAAGGCCUUCGGGUUGUAAAGCUCUUUCGGCCGGGACGAAAUGGCGCGGGGUAACAUCCCGCGUCGAUGACGGUACCGGAAGAAGAAGGACCGGCUAACUACGUGCCAGCAGCCGCGGUAAUACGUAGGGUCCAAGCGUUAAUCGGAAUUACUGGGCGUAAAGCGUGCGUAGGCGGUCUCGCAAGUCCGAUGUGAAAUCCCCGAGCUUAACUUGGGAACUGCGUUGGAAACUAUGAGGCUAGAGUGCGGCAGAGGGGGGUGGAAUUCCAGGUGUAGCAGUGAAAUGCGUAGAGAUCUGGAGGAACACCGAUGGCGAAGGCAGCCCCCUGGGCUAGCACUGACGCUGAUACACGAAAGCGUGGGGAGCAAACAGGAUUAGAUACCCUAGUAGUCC